rnacentral:rRNA from 1 species
AUUGAACGCUGGCGGCAUGCUUUACACAUGCAAGUCGAACGGUAACAGGUUAAGCUGACGAGUGGUGAACGGGUGAGUAAUGCAUCGGAACGUGCCCGGUCGUGGGGGAUAACACUUCGAAAGAAGUGCUAAUACCGCAUACGAUCUGAGGAUGAAAGCGGGGGACCGUAAGGCCUCGCGCGAUCGGAGCGGCCGAUGUCAGAUUAGGUAGUUGGUGGGGUAAAGGCUCACCAAGCCGACGAUCUGUAGCUGGUCUGAGAGGACGACCAGCCACACUGGGACUGAGACACGGCCCAGACUCCUACGGGAGGCAGCAGUGGGGAAUUUUGGACAAUGGGCGCAAGCCUGAUCCAGCAAUGCCGCGUGCAGGAAGCAGGCCUUCGGGUUGUAAACUGCUUUUGUACGGAGCGAAAAGGCUCUCUCUAAUACAGGGGGCUCAUGACGGUACCGUAAGAAUAAGCACCGGCUAACUACGUGCCAGCCGCCGCUGUAA